rnacentral:lncRNA from 1 species
UGAGGAGUAAUUACUGCCUGGGCAAACCCGUGCAAAAACAGUCACGCUGGUCGCAUAUUUAUGUCCUGCCAUUUGUUAGAAACUUUCAAGCGUCUACUACUGUUACUUUAAAAAAGUCUACAUGGAAAUUCUAUCCCCACCCUAACCUGAACUUAAGCCUGCAGAUGAGGAUCAGGCUCCCCAGCCUCCCGGAACAAGCAGACAGUUAUUAAUGGAAAUGUUCCACCAGCUCAGGGACCUCAGCCAUAUACCUAAUAUGGACAGAGGAAAAAGAUAUGUUUCUCUCCUACAAUGGUUUAUCAUGAAUUAUCUUAGUAAGGGGAUGUACAAAGAUUUGAGAGUUCAAAC